AUGCCCUAUUUCAGUGGACUGGACAAGGGAGCAAACAGAAAAGGCAACGAGGGCCCUGAGCUGCAGCCAGACAUGGUCAGACUGACCUUGAGAAAAGAACACAGAAGGGGAGAAAGAAUAAUGAUCCUGCUUGGUGCAUCAGAAAGCACAAAACAGGGCCAAGAAGACAGCUGCCUGGAGUCACCAGCGUGCUGCUGAGCCUGCUGAGGUUUUACAAACCCCCUCGUGUGAGGGGUGGUUGGCCAGGGUCACCCCGGGCACACGUCUUACCACCAAACUGGUCGGGUUAUAAAUCCUCACACAGACUGGACAGCGAGCUGUCCAAACCCAUGGAAAAGGAACAUCAGCCUUCGGUCUAUGGUUGUUGAUAAUGGCUAGAAAUGUUCAUUUUAGCAAAUGAGGUAAGUGUAAAGUUACUAUAAGGUGGAAAGCUUCCAAGCCGGAUCCUGCCAUGUGCCCCUGCUGCUCUUCGGCCUGAGACCAAGCCCUAGUGGCAAGCUCUACCCUGCAGCAAAUAUUUACUGUGACGUUGUAGUCCCUCAGGGGGGAAAAAAGGGUUUAUGAUGGAAAUGAUGAUGGAGUAUUAAGUGCAGUGGCGCUCGUGAGCGGCACAGCUAUAACAACAACCUCAAACCAGUAAAUAGGAAAAAGGCCUUCUCUGUCCAGAUGGUGAGGCAGGCAACAUAGCCCUACCGUAUGCAACACCAGAGACUUUCCAAAUCCUACUCCAAAUCUUUUAAUCCCUUCAGUCCUUAACGGUUCAAAAUUACAUCAUCAUUUCCUCCAUUUCAGACAGAGCUUUACCCCUUCUGCUUCAUAGCUGCAGUCUAAUAGGGCUCAUACUUCUUAAUCUUAAAUGGAAAAAUGUAUGUCAAGUCAAAACAAAGCACAGUUUCUAGAUCUCCACAGGGGGUGUGGGGGGUGUCUCAUAAAUCUGUAUAUGAUUAAAGGCAGCUGCAGAUUGACAUGGACAUUCUGAGCCUGUCAGUCCUUUGCGUGAUGUAUAGCUAUUGCAGCAAGCCAGCAGUGGCAAGCUGAAGACAAUGAAUUUCCUGCACUUCCUAGUCUUAUUGCCAAGGACCAGGAAAUAGAUGCCUAAUCAGCCUUGAAUUUGUAAAGGCCCUAACCUAAACCCCAGCACAAGCACUGCUAGUUCUUGGCCUGGUCAUUUAUUCUAAGAUCUUUCAAUCUCUUGUUU
rnacentral:lncRNA from 1 species